AGAAUCCACGCCCAUCGCCCCGCGCCGUGGCGCCAUCCCCCAGAUAAUUCAGGAAUGUGCCCCUUGGGCGACAAACAAGCCUCAUUGUGGAGCUCAUUGGUGUGGAGGAGUCCUCUCUCCACUGGGUGGCUAUGCUGGGUGCUGGGCGCGCCCCAAAUACCGCAAGAACGCUAAGUUCUUGGCUGGCUUGGCUUCCUUCCCCACUUAUCCUAGAAUGAUCCCUAGGCUUCCUUUCUUGCUGGCCGCUCAUCUUUACCGUCUCUCUCUGGAAGUCACUGUGGCCAGCUGGGACCUGCCUGACCCCUGUGCCUUGGUGACAUGGCCUGAGAAGUGCAAAAGUGUAGAGCCUUACCUUGUUGAGCUGCUCUGAGGAGUCCAAUCCCAGAAAUGCUGCCAGCAGCCCCGACAAGUCAGCCCACAUGGUGAAGGUGUCCACUCAUCACAGGAGAGUCCUCUAAUCUAAAGCAACAUGUAUAACCAAGAAAGGAGGGCUUAAUUUGAGAAAGCCAGCAGAGACACUAACUCUUUUCAUCCUAAUCAAAGCUGUCAGAGCCGGUUAGUGUCAGAGCCAGUCAGAUGGCCCCAAAGCCCGCCAUCCACCCUGCAGUCAUCCUAUCACCAAGGAAACCACACAUCAGUUAGCAGGGUCCCCAGGAGCCAGCCGGAAGCUCAGUUGCCUCACAUGUUUGUUGUUAUCAGCUCUUCCAAAGCACAGCAUCUUUUGCAAGAAAGAUUCUGUGAGACUUCUCCUGCCCCAGGCCCCCACUGUCUUCUGUUUCCCAAAGUUAAGAAUGCAUUCCCCUCUGAGAAAGACAUGUGCUGGCAGGCACAUGGGGAAGUUACUUGUCCACUCAGUGUCACACAAGGCAGACGGCUGCAUUGCCACCAGGACUGAUAUGGAGCAGCCCCAC